GGUCAUGUGGCCUAGUGGUCAUGGCAUCUGCCCGGUAAGCGGAAGGUCGUGGGUUCGAUUCCCAUCCCUUGACACA